UGUGUGUGUGUGUGUGCGGGCAGGCGGACGGCCGGGCGUGAGUAUGUCAGUGUGUGUUCCCGUUGGUCUCGCAAACUGUCUUUGUGUUGUAAUCAGAAGGUCUGACCCAGUUCUUUCUCUGUCGCUUUGCUCAAACGACUUACUGAUCCCAUAAUACAGCUGCUCCUACACAUGCACUUGCACACUCCACACGUACACUCCACACGCACAGAGAAAGACAAGUUCCUUAUGAAAGAGAGAACAGAGAACAAACAGCUUCCAGUCAGACAGAGAGAGACAUAUCCAAUGAGAACCUCAACAUUCCACUGCUAAACCAUGUGACUUUUCAUUCCGUGCCAGGCGAAUGUGGGUAUUGAGGGAGAGGUGUGAGUGGUAUGCACCAGAUCUCCAGUGCUCACCCACAGCCCGGUUCAACCUGUGCCUGCACUCUGGAGGGUCCGGGAUGAAGGGGUCAUCCAGCCUGGAGGAGUGGUGCCAAGGAGCCGCCCGUCAGUCAGGAGCUGCCAGAGCCGCCCGUCAGUCAAGAGCUGCCAGAUCCCAUAAUUUCAAACCAACAAAUUGUACAUUUCAUACUUCGGUCAUCAUACUCCGGUGCAAUUUCAUUACCUCUAAAUGGUCAAUUACAAUAUUGAGAUAAGCUAGUCCUGUCUUGCAAGCUCUUGCUCUCUCUCAAGCAACUGUGGGUCUAUCAUUGGCUUAGAGAACCACUCUACAGUGUAAUGACAAUGCAAUACAAGAUGAACAGGAAUUACAAUUCUCUCACGGGUGACCAAAAAUAACUCUUUGAAAGUCACACCCCUACUAAGCCACACCUCCAGUCUUCCCCUGUCACCUGGUGGGUCAUAGCUCAAUUACCCAGCAAUAAUUACUCAACUAUGUGACCCAACAGCUAGAUAUUAAUUUAUAUGGAAUGGAAGAAGAAAACCAUCAUUGGAAUAGAACUGAAAUUAGAAUUUAGACUAUCUGAAUUAAAAUAGAAUUUUAAUUGGAAAAUAAAAAUAUUCUUGGAAUUGGAAUUUAGAAAUGUGAAACUUGUAUUAAUUCCAGUUACUGGUGUUAAUGCAUUUAUCAUUGAAGUUGAAUGCAAACUUUGUUUUAAAUCAAAAAAUUAUAAUUAUAUACAUUACUGUAUAUACAUUCUUUUUUUAAACGUUUUCCAAUGAGGAGUUGACGUGUGUGAAUAUACAAUGCUUUCGGAAAGCAAUUGUCACGCCCUGGUCUUAGUAUUUUGUGUUUUCUUUAUUAAUUUGGUCAGGCCAGGGUGUGACAUGGGUUUUGUAUGUGGUGUGUUUUGUCUUGGGGUUUUUGUUAGGUAUUGGGUUUGUAUUAUAGUAGGGGUGUCUAGCAUAGUCUAUGGCUGUCUGGAAUGGUUCUCAAUCAGAGGCAGGUGUUUAUCGUUGUCUCUGAUUGGGAACCAUAUUUAGGCAGCCAUAUUCUUUGAGUGUUUCGUGGGUGAUUGUUCCUGUCUCUGUGUUUGCACCAGAUAGGACUGUUUAGGUUUUCACAUUUCAUUAUUUUGUAGUUUAUUCAUGUAUAGUUUUUCCUUUAUUAAACAAACAUGAAUCAUCACAACGCUGCAUUUUGGUCCGACUCUCUUUCACCUAAGGAAAACCGUUACAGAAUCACCCACCACAACAGGACCAAGCGGCGUGGUGAAAGGCAGCAACAGCAGCGAAAAGAGGAAUGGACAUGGGAGUACGGUUUGGACUGCAAGAGUAUGGACUAUACUUCUUGGGAAGAGAUAGACAGGUGGGCGGUCGACCCAGGGAGAGUGCCAGAGCCCGCCUGGGAUUCGAUGGAGCGAUGCCCGGAAGGUUAUAGGAGAAUGGAGUUGGAGAGACAAGCACGGCGGCGCGGAAGGAAGCCCGAGAGUCAGCCCCAAAAAUUUCUUGGGGGGGGGCCCAGGGAGAGUGUGGCAGAGUCAGGGUUCAGACCUGAGCCAACUCCCCCUGUUUAACGUGAGGAGUCAAGGAGGAGACCAGAACCAGAGCCGGUGUUGGAGGUGAGCGAAGCAGAGACUGUGAAGGAGUUAAUGGGGAAAUUGGAGGAGAGAGUUAUGAGGGAGUUGCUGUGUUGGUGCUUUAGGUACGGAAUUCGCCCGACGGAGCGUGUCGGGGAUUUGAUGGCACCUGGGUCAGCGCUCCAUACUCGUCCUGAGGUGCGUGGUAGUCGGCUGGUGAAGAUUGUGCCAGCCUCACGCACCAGGCCUCCUGUGCACCUCCCUAGCCUUGCACGUUCUGUUCCAGCCCUGCUCUCAAGCUCUCCAGUACGCCUUCACGGUCCGGUCCAUCCUGUGCCACCUCCACACACCAGUCCUCCGGUGGCAGCUCCCCGCACCAGGCUUCCUGUGCGUGUUCUCGGCCCAGUACCACCAGUGCCAGCACCACACACCAGGCCUUCAGUGCGCCUCGCCUGUCCAGCGCUGCCGGAGCCUUCCUCCUCUACAGCGCUGCCGGAGUCUCCCGCCUGUUCAGUGCAGUCAGAGCCUUCCUCCUCUACAGCGCUGUCGGAGUCUCCCGCCUGUUUAGCGCUGCCAGAGCCUUCCUCCUCUACAGCGCUGCCGGAGUCUCCCGCCUGUUCAGAGCUGCCAGUCUGCAAGGAGCUGCCAGUCUGCAAGGAGCUGCCAGUCUGCAAGGAGCUGCCAGUCUACAAGGAGCUGCCAGUCUGCAAGGAGCUGCCAGAGCUGCCAGUCUGCAGGAUGCCGCCAGAGCUGCCAGCCUGCAGGAUGCCGCCAGAGCUGCCAGUCUGCAUGGAGCAGCCAGAGCCGCCAGUCAGCAUGGAGCAGCCAGAGCCGCCAGUCAGCAUGGAGCAGCCAGAGCCGCCAGUCAGCAUGGAGCAGCCAGAGC
ensembl:lncRNA